GGAGUCCACCAGGUCACUUCAAAUGAAAACUGCCUAUGAGGAAUGAUUGUCAACAAAAACUUUUAUGGAGCUCAGUCUGAGAAUAAAACCUGGUGGGAACUUAGGAUCCUGUUCAUCAAACCUGCACAGUUUGAGAUCCACCUAAUCAGAUGCAGCAGACUAGCCAGCUCUGUCACCUCCUUCUGGCUGGUUGGGGCAGGAGAGGGAGCCAGAAGAUCUGCUUCUCCCUCUCUGACAUCUGAAGUCUGAAAGGGAGACCCUCUCACCUCCAACCGUAGUUUCCAGCCUUUCAACCCUCCAUCUGCUCCUUCUUCCUCCUCCUCCUCCUCCUGGUCUACCUGGGGCUGCCAAACCACACCACUUUGGUUAGAACAAGCCACAGUUCCUUGAGUUGACGCGCAACACAGAACUGUGGUUAUUUUAAAGUGAAAUUGGAAACUUCCACUCUCCUCUUGUGAGCAAAGGAGAGAGAGGAGGAAUGUGUGAAUGCAAGGCUCACUGUGGCUCAUUCCCAAUUUGAACUGGUCCACACACAAAUAGGAACACAAUGUCUGGGACUAGGGUAUAAUACAAGCAAAAAAUAAAAAUGCUUUGGCAAUGGAAAAAGUCAAGAUUGAUGGGCCAGUGAAAGUGAUUCAGCAGGCUCAAUUCAUUUUGCAGGAUACUUAUUGCAGUCAUGGGACUAGGUCUUGGGUCAGGCUGUUGCUUAAGCCUUCAAUGUAAAAGCUCAUUGCUUCUUGUUCUUUCAUCAAUGAAUCGGUUAACAACUAUGGCUCAAUUUGCACAUGGCAGAAUUACACGUGGAAACACCUGACAGGUUCAGAAGAAGAGGAAAACCUUCUCUUCCUCCAGAUGGUUUAUAUUUCAUUAUAGGCUCAUAUAAAAAUACCCAGACACUCAUCUUCUACUUGGACUUAUCUAGAGUUGCUAUAUUGUGAAGAAUCCAUUUCUCUUUCCUGGUCCGACUUCAAUCUAACACAGCACAGUCACCAGCUUGUUACUUUGAGAUUUCUCCCUUCGUGCAUGUGGCCGAUUAGACUGAUGGCUCUCUCACUUUCUGGGCCACCUCGUUCAGAAGGAAAGAGGCAUUGCCAUUACAA
rnacentral:lncRNA from 1 species